GACGAACGCUGGCGGCGUGCCUAAUACAUGCAAGUUGAGCGCUGAAGGUUGGUACUUGUACCGACUGGAUGAGCAGCGAACGGGUGAGUAACGCGUGGGGAAUCUGCCUUUGAGCGGGGGACAACAUUUGGAAACGAAUGCUAAUACCGCAUAAAAACUUUAAACACAAGUUUUAAGGUUGAAAGAUGCUAUUGCAUCACUCAAAGAUGAUCCCGCGUUGUAUUAGCUAGUUGGUUAGGUAAAGGCUCACCAAGGCGAUGAUACAUAGCCGACCUGAGAGGGUGGUCGGCCCCAUUGGGAAUGAGACCAGGCCCAAACUCCUUCGGGAGGCAGCAGUAGGGAAUCUUCCGCAAUAGACGAAAGUCUGACCGGGCAACGCCGCGGGAGUGAAGAAGGUUUUCGGGACGUAAAACUCUGUUGGUAGGGAAGAACGUUGGUGGGAGUGGAAAGCGCAUGAAGUGACGGAAACUACCCAGAAAGCGACGGCUAACUACGUG
rnacentral:rRNA from 1 species